GACCGCUCCUGUGGCCUAGUGGUUAGAGCGUCCGCCUCGAAUGAGGCAGGUCCUGAGUUCGAAUCCAAGCCGAGUCA